GAUGAACGCUAGCGGCAGGCCUAACACAUGCAAGUCGAGGGGCAGCACAGAAACAGCAAUGUUUUGGUGGCGACCGGCGGACGGGUGCGUAACGCGUAUGCAACCUACCUUUAACAGGGGGAUAACGGAGAGAAAUAUCCACUAAUACCCCAUAACAUCGAUCAAGGCAUCUUGAUUGGUUGAAAACUCCGGUGGUGAAAGAUGGGCAUGCGUUGUAUUAGGUAGUUGGUGAGGUAAUGGCUCACCAAGCCUACGAUACAUAGGGGGACUGAGAGGUGAGCACCCCACACUGGUACUGAGACACGGACCAGACUCCUACGGGAGGCAGCAGUGAGGAAUAUUGGUCAAUGGGGGCAACCCUGAACCAGCCAUGCCGCGUGCAGGAAGACGGCUCUAUGAGUUGUAAACUGCUUUUAAACAGGGAUAAAGCACAGUAUGUAUACUGUGUUGAAGGUACUGUAGGAAUAAGGAUCGGCUAACUCCGUGCCAGCCGCCGCAGUAA
rnacentral:rRNA from 1 species